rnacentral:misc_RNA from 1 species
GAAAUGCGAUAAGUAAUGUGAAUUGCAGAAUUCAGUGAACCAUCGAAUCUUUGAACGCACCUUGCGCUCCUUGGUAUUCCUUGGAGCAUGCCUGUUUGAGUAUCAUGAAAUCUUCAAAGUAAAUCUUUUGUUAACUCAAUUGGUUUCUACUUUGGUAUUGGAGGUCUUUGCAGCUUCACACCUGCUCCUCUUUGUUCAUUAGCUGGAUCUCAGUGUUAUGCUUGGUUCCACUCGGCGUGAUAAGUUAUCUAUCGCUGAGGACACUGUAAAAGUUGGCCAAGGUAAAUGCAGAUGAACCGCUUCUAAUAGUCCAUUGACUUGGACAAUACUUUUAUGAUCUGAUCUCAAAUCAGGUAGGACUACCCGCUGAACUUAAGC